UGAUCCUCUGUGCCUCACUAUCACCUUCUCCCCACAAUAUGAUGUAGUUUCACACAAGAAAAGUGGUACGUUGCGCAGAGUUUACAGUAAAAUUAGUUAUUACCCAUUGGCAAGACAAUAAUCUACUACUACUAUAAUCUACCCCAGUAGAUUAUAUAUUACUAAUCUAAUAAUUUUAGUAACAUGAUUUAUUCAAAAUCAAAGUUUCUUAAUUGGUUGUCUGUUUACUUACCAUGUGACAGUGGAUCGACACUUUACUCUUAAAAUGUACAGUGAAAUGAGCUUAUACUUUGUGUAGUAGUAUAUGAAGUACUAAGUAGAACUAUGAGGCAACUUCGAUGGAAUCCAGUCUCUAAAUUGGCAGAAUUUAUUUAAUUAAAGGGUCAAGUUUGGUCAUUGACUUAAAUUUAUUUAACUAUACGAAAACUUAGUAAUGUAUUACUCCAAAAAUAUACAGUAAAAGUACCGGAUAUUUGCUGUAGUAGAACAGGAGUUAUCAAAGGGCAAAGUUCAGCUACUGGUGUCAGUUGAACUUACUGAAUGAUACUUUAUGCAUUAUUUAAAAACUAUGCAGUAAAAUAAGUUGAUAUUUCCUGUGGUAGUAGUCUAUAAAGUACUAGGUAGUGAUGUCCCAAUUUGAGUAAUUUAUUCAAAUCCAAGAUUUAGAAAAAGAGGCAAAUUGCCUCUUUAUAUUUUCCGUUAGUGAAUAUAUUUAGACAUUCACUGUAAAUUCUGUAAUUUCUUAAAUUUAAUUCAUUUCCUUGCAACAUUUAUCUUAAUAUCGCCCCAGAUGCUCCUAAAAGUGAGAGUCUCGGCUUUUCUCAGUGAUCGCAACAGUUACCGUAACUAUAGCACGAAUCGCGCACCUUGAAUAUAGCGACGGCUCAUUUGACCACGGAAAAGUAAACGGCGGUUCAUUUGACCGUGGUGACACACCGGAGCAAACGGCAACUGUAGCUUGUUUGAUCCUUUCGGUAAUUAAUCUUACUGCAUCUAUUUAUGACAAUGAGUAGCACAUGUGUACAGCGAGCGGCGCUACAAUAAGUAUAGUGAAUUUUACUGUCUUGUCGUCUGCGUUAGAUUAAAGAUUAUGACACAAUAAAAAUGUGCUACCACUAGCAUCAUAAUGGCUCAGAGAACUUUCCUUUUACGAUGCAAACAAAUCGUUAAUGAGUGUACUCGACUUCUACAAGGGGACAGUCCACCAGAUGACGCAUUUCAAACAGUUCUAACAAGGUAAGAAAGUCCUAGGCUAUUCUGUUCAUUAUCAUUAUCAUGCACUAACUGUGGUCAAGCUAGCACGCUAUUCGCAGAUUCGCUACUGGGUGCACAAAAAUGUACUCAGAUUUUUACAGUACUACUGCAGAAGCGUUGCAUACAUGCAUACAUUAACAAUUUAUUAAUUGUUAUAAGUUCUUAAAGUGGUAUUGUCAUGUCAGUAGUUAUAGCAUGCUUUGCAACAAAAAAGAACAAACAUAUAUACAGUAUAUAUGUUUACUGUAUGUGUAUGAUAAGGGUAAAUCCGUCCUGUUUAAUAUAUACAUUUUUUCACAUAUUUCAGAAUGAAAACCCUUAAACGCUGUCUGGAGUGCUCAAGAGGGAGGUUGAUGGAUGCAACAGCAGUACAAGACAUCCUUGAAAACAUUGAGAAAUAUACUCAGGAGGUCAAGGAAAUGCAACAGGGGGCUCAACAAGUGCUUAUAGACACAAGCUGUUACGGCGAUAAAGAGGCACGUGAUGGCUGGACUGUCAUGCGAGGUGGUGUCAGCAAAAGUAAAACUCACAAGUCAUAGAGUCAAUUGACUCUCUGCAUAUUCGUUGAACCGAGGGCUGCUUGAAGUGCUGUUUCUGUUGUAAUAGAGAUUAACGUGCACACGCAUCAUAGACCAGAAGCACAAGUGGCCAUUGGUUUUAAUGCUGUCAACUAGGGCUCAAGCAUGCAUUAAAGAGUCCAUUUACCUAAGA